CAGCCAUGCCGCGUGAGUGAUGAAGGCCUUAGGGUUGUAAAGCUCUUUUGCCGGGGACGAUAAUGACGGUACCCGGAGAAUAAGUCCCGGCUAACUUCGUGCCAGCAGCCGCGGUAAUGCGAAGGGGACUAGCGUUGUUCGGAAUCACUGGGCGUAAAGCGCACGUAGGUGGAUUUGUAAGUCAGGGGUGAAAUCCCGGGGCUCAACCUCGGAACUGCCUUUGAUACUGCAAGUCUUGAGUCCGAUAGAGGUGGGUGGAAUUCCUAGUGUAGAGGUGAAAUGCGUAGAUAUGCGGAGGAACACCGAUGGCGAAGGCAAUCCCCUGGGCCUGCACUGACGCUCAUGCACGAAAGCGUGGGGAGCAAACAGGAUUAGAUACCCUGGUAA
rnacentral:rRNA from 1 species